GUUGCCAUAGUGAAGUGGUUUAUCACAGCCGGCUUUCUACCGGCUAUCUCGAGUUCGAAUCUCGAUGGCAAUA
rnacentral:tRNA from 2 species